GAUGUAGCUCCACAGUCCUCUCUGUCCUCAUCUCUAUGGUCAGUACAGACAGGCUGAGCCCAGCACUAGAUUCCCGGGUCUGAUCAGUUUGUGAGGAGCCUGUCCUGUCACAGCCCCGGACAGAAGAGAAAUGGCGGGAGAAUGUGAGGGAGGAUGGGACUGCAUGAGGGAAGAGCCCACAGACCGUGACCAUAGUAAAAUGAAAACCCGAGGCAACAUUAUGCGUAACAUCACAGCAACAACUAUAGUGGUAGAUAGAAAUCUUCACAUGAGUGACUAGUCAGAGCAGUUUCGCGGACAGACAUCGCGCAGACAGUAUGGACCAGACAGAGGACUUCUGCAGACACAACUCUGCCCUCGGCACACUCUGUUGGUUCCGCAUGGGCAGCAAACCUCUCCUUUUAGACCCAAGGACAGUUACCUGUAGUCGCCUCUACCGUAAGUGGCGUUUCCCCACGACCUCGUCCACAAAACGCACCCAACAAGCUGCGAUCUGACUGCAGGAGACCUGUGUUUAGG